GCAGAUCGUAGCGGGCAUUGCCGUCGAACUGAUAUUUCGGCGCGUUGGGCAGUGCGUUGCCGUUGAUCUGCGC
rnacentral:tRNA from 1 species